rnacentral:miRNA from 1 species
UGGUGUAAAUCUGGAGUGGAUC